rnacentral:lncRNA from 1 species
ACGCACGCGACGACGAUGAAGAUUGAGUCCCAAGAAAUGAAAUCCUUUACAAGUUUACAAGAAAUGAAAUCCUUUUACAACAAUUUUUGAUCACCAUCCUUUUUAAACAAUUUUGAUCACCAUCGUCUCUCUCGUCAGUCUCCCGCGUCGCGUCGUCAUCGCGCGCACGCACCGGCACCUCGCGACGACUCUCGCGUCGGUCGUCGAACGUCAACACGCCGAGACACGUGCGCGCGCCCACCGUCUCGCGCGAGGACGACGACGGUGAAGACGACGCAUCGUCUCGCGACGCAUCGUCUCGCGACGCGUCGGCUCGCGACGAGCGCUCCUCCACGCGCGCGCGAGGGCGCGCGUCCGCGCGUGGCGCGACCGGCGCGCGGGCGCGACCGACGGCGCGAGGCGCUGGCUAUGUGUACGCACUCAUAGUAGUGGUCACGAUGACGUAUCGUGCGCGUUCUUCACCCAUCUAUUUGCAUUCCUCGACAUCGCACUCGUAGUAGUGGUCACGACGGCGGGAAAACCACCGUUCCUCCGCGGCUCACUGUUUGCGCAUAGAGAAAAAUUCCGGCGUGGUCGCCCGCGUCAGGAGGGACUCUUGGAGGUGUGUGACUCGUCGCUACAUCUUAAACCUCGUGCGGAGAUAGAUCCCUUGCGGAGACGAUUACGCCGACGAGGGGAGACGAUCGACGCGCGCGCGCGCGCGGGACGCGGCAUACAUCGACGCACCGCGCGCCAAAACUCUCAAAGUAUCGUCACCGAGCGCACACGCUCGAUUUUGACGCAUCUCGACGCACGUUUGUAACGCGCGCGACACCUGUUCAAUCCUCAAUCGGAUCACUCAAUUAACUUUUAAAACACCAUGCCGGAACGUAACCCUGGUUUGGCUUACAUGAU